rnacentral:lncRNA from 1 species
CUGGCCUCAGGACAACCCCAACAGUCAUCACCCACUCUCAGUACUUACUGUUAAUCACCUGUCUCCCGCUGGCAUGGAAGCCCCAGGAGGACAGGGAUUUUGUCUCUAACGCGUCCUUUGAUGUGUCCCAGACACCCAGAACAGUGCUUGGCAUGCUGCUGGUGCUAAAUAAACAUGUGCUGCAGAAGCAAGUCACGUCCUCAUGGUAAGAACCCAAAGAGGAGAAACUGCCAAGGACCACUUGGCAGAAUGGCAAGUACACACACUCAGAGCCUGUGGGAUUCCAGAGUUUCUCCAAGUUUCUCCUGCAGAGCUGUUCACAGCUGUGCCACAGACGAAUGCACGGGACACUCACUGUGGCAUCUGCCCACAGCAGACCCUGCCUGGGUGCCAUUAGAUACAGGACACUUCUGGAGGAACAAAGUGCAGUUUAAGAGUUGAAGGCAGUCGCUGACGAGGAGCUGCCAACCUGUGGAUGGACGGGCCUCAAAGUGUCCAGGACACAUGGGCAGAAAACAUGGCUGCCAGUAGGGGGAGAACACAGAGGGAAGGAGGGCUGGGGCUCCUCUCAUUGCCCUCCCUGCACUCCGUGGCCAGAAUUCCCCCCAAGCACGGGUUUCUUUUAUAAUUUAACACUGAGGGACAUGGGGACCAAGGCUAGUUCUGGAGCAAAAAUUCAAGCCAAGGGGCAAUUUAGGUUUCGUUGAGGAAAAGUAAAUU